ACAUGCCUACAGCAUAGAAUUAAUGCAUCAGAUCCCAUUAGAACUCUACAGCUAAGUGCACUCAGGCUAGAGUAGUACUGGGAUGGGUGAACGCAUGGGAAGUCCUAGUGUUUAAUAUGCC
rnacentral:rRNA from 1 species